GGUUCAUUCAAAUUUCUGCCCUAUCAACUUUCGAUGGUAAGGUAUUGGCUUACCAUGGUUUCAACGGGUAACGGGGAAUAGGGUUCGAUUCCGGAGAGGGAGCCUGAGAAACGGCUACCACAUCCAAGGAAGGCAGCAGGCGCGCAAAUUACCCAAUCCCGACCGGGGAGGUAGUGACAAUAAAUACUGAUACAGGGCUCUUUUGGGUCUUGUAAUUGGAAUGAGUACAAUUUAAACCUCUUAACGAGGAACAAUUGGAGGGCAAGUCUGGUGCCAGCAGCCGCGGUAAUUCCAGCUCCAAUAGCGUAUAUUAAAGUUGUUGCAGUUAAAAAGCUCGUAGUUG
rnacentral:rRNA from 1 species